CGAAGGGGGCUAGCGUUGCUCGGAAUUACUGGGCGUAAAGGGAGCGUAGGCGGGUUAUCAAGUUGGAGGUGAAAGCCCAGGGCUCAACCUUGGAAUUGCCUUCAAAACUGAUAGCCUAGAGUAUGGAAGAGGUAAGUGGAACUCCGAGUGUAGAGGUGAAAUUCGUAGAUAUUCGGAAGAACACCAGUGGCGAAGGCGACUUACUGGUCCAUGACUGACGCUGAGGCUCGAAAGCGUGGGGAGCAAACAGGAUUAGAUACCCUGGUAGUCCACGCUGUAAACGAUGAUUGCUAGUUGUCGGGCGGCAUGCCGUUCGGUGACGCAGCUAACGCAUUAAGCAAUCCGCCUGGGGAGUACGGUCGCAAGAUUA
rnacentral:rRNA from 1 species